GGGUCCUUAGCUCAGUCAGGCUAGAGCACCGGACUUUUAAUCCGGGGGUCGCGGGUUCAAUUCCCGUAGGACCCGCCA
rnacentral:tRNA from 2 species